rnacentral:pre_miRNA from 12 species
UAUUAUACGAUAAACUUUGUUCAGUUUUGCCAACUUGCUUGCAGCACUGGGUGAAGUUUGUCUUAUAAU